ACGACUGGCUGCUGCCUUCGCCUCUGCUGACUUUGCGAGGAGUGAGGGCCUCCGAUGCGGGAGUGUACGCCUGCAAGGCCGAGCAUCCCUCCGUGCCGCACAGACGGUCGCACAACGUCAGCGUCGUCGUUUUGCCUGAGGAUGCUCGUUGGUACGAGUCCAACACCAACUAUGUCAUACAGAUGAUCUCACUGGCAGCGCUGGUCGUUGUCUCGGCUCCCAUUCUCAUCUUCAUCCAACAUUACUACCGCAGGUAUAAGAAGGCCAAGGUCAACAAAGGACCCAUUGAUGACCACUCGCAGAUCUCGCCCAUGUAUGAAAUGGCUUGUCUGCAGCAAAACAGUGAGGAAAAUUCCCUUCUGAACCAAAACGUGUGACGACGCUGCGACUGGAAUGGAAAUGGAUUGGCAAAAGAUGGAGUGUGUGGCCAGAGAGUGAGGGAUGGUGUACUCGGGUACAGAUGAUGAGCAGCUGAGAGAGCGAGGCUAAAAGGGAGAGCAGAAAUACUCCAAAGAAAAGAAAAGCAAAGCUCUGCAGAUGCUUACUGGCGCGCUCACGCACUUUAGACUAUUUUAGUUUUUAUGCUGCAAUGCUCACUCGAAACCGCUUGGGCUGAUUAUCUUGUGUGUGCACUUUGAGAAGGCUUAUAUUUAUUUGCUGAGCCAGCAUUACUGGCCUAGUGGUUGGAGUGUCCGCCCUGGUAGGUUGUGAGUUCAAACCCCGGCCGAGUCAUACCAAAGACUAUAAAAAAAAUGGGACCCAUUACCUCCCUGAUUGGCACUUAGCAUCAAGGGUUGGAAUUGGGGGUUAAAGCAUCAAAAAUGAUUACCAGGCGUGGCCACCGCUGCUGCUCACUGCUCCCCAGGGGGUGAACAAGGGGAUGGGUCAAAUGCAGAGGACACAUUUCACCACAUCUAGUGUGUGUGUGACAAUCAUUGGUACUUUAACUUUAACUACCGGGUAAUUAACUUCAUAAGCUGUUGACUCCAAGUUGUCUUCAUGCAGUAUCAGCUUGAGGCAAUUUUGAAGGCAUCAACCGUAUGGUUAACCCCUACUUUGAGUUGGACUCCUUAUAUUGUACAUUACAUUAUAUUCUGUAUAUUGGUUGAAAAUAGCAGACUUUUGCGUCAUUGCGUCUUCUUUGCCUGUACUAAAGAAGCGCUGAUAUUUUAUUUAUUUAAAAACAUUUUUACACACUGAAACUCUGUAAAGUGGAUCGACCAUGGGACCCCUUAAGUACAACACAAUCUGAAAUCAAGAUAUUAUUAUCAGUGAUUUAUUUGACCAUCAUUAUUAUUAAAUCAACUUUUAAUGUUCGUUAAUCGUUGUGUUGAAGAAAACACUAUGACCAAUCUAAACGUUGCAAAAACAAUCAUUCAAGCAAUGUCAAUCUAAAGCAGGGGUCCCUGAACUUUGUGACUCCGGGGCCGCAUUGGGGUAAAACAAUUUGGCUGGGGACCACGCUAUAUAUAUAUGUAUAUAUAUAU